rnacentral:rRNA from 1 species
AUGGUCGUCACACUCUGGUCGGUGUGGUACGCGAGCAGAAAGGCUAUCUACGAAUCGAUCUUCCAGAGUCCCCAACAUACAGUGUCUUUUGUCACCAACUUUAUUGCCGAGUUAGGCCAGCUACAACCUAGCGGUACUAGCCAGGAGACCAGCUCUGCUCCGCGGUCGCAGGUCAGAAGGUGGCUUCCACCCCCGGCGGGAUUCGUGAAGGUUAACGUUGAUGGUGCUGUUGCUAGAUCUCACCAUGGCGGAGCAGUCGCAGCCGUGUGUCGGGAUCAGACUGGCCUCUAUCUAGGGUCAUCGGCGGUGGUUUAUCGGGGAAUCAAUGACCCUCUCAUCCUGGAGACAUAUGCAUGCCGAGAAGCCUUGGCAUUAGUAGAUGACCUCGCGACCCGGGAGAUUUGUGUGGCCUCAGAUUGCCAGGAGGCGACCAACGACAUCAACAGAGGGACAGGAGGUCCAAAUGCUUCUAUAGUACAUGAAAUAACGAACCGGUGUACCAGUUUUAUUUCUAGUUCUUUCAUACACGAACGUAGGAACUUUAAUUUUGAGGCUCAUAAUCUCGCCAAGUUUGCAUGUAAUCUUGAAGUAGGUAGAUAUCUCUGGUUGGGUAACCUCAUGACCCAAACCUUGUACCUAUGA